AACACAUAACACACAAACUAUUUAACUGUCCCAGGGUCGCUACAGUACAAAAGUUCUAGACUCCCAUGGGUUAUGUUUAGACUCCCAUGGGUUAUGUUUAGACUCCCAGGGGUCAUAAUAUAGAAACGUGUAUGAGCAUUACAAACAGAGUAGCGGGACAACGUAGCGUCUGAGGCCGAAAUGGGUCCCCUAAUCUGACUGAAUAGUGCGGUUGUUUGCCAACGGUCUGGAGGUCUUCCUGGAGCUCCAGAGUAGCGGGACAACGUCGCGUCUGAGUCCGAAAUGGGUCCCGUAAUCGGACUGAGUGUGGCGGUUGGUUGCCAACGGUCUGGAGGUCUUCCUGGAGCUCCAGAGUAGCGGGACAACGUCGCGUCUGAGUCCGAAAUGGGUCCC
ensembl:lncRNA